AGACAUUCUCUCUUUAUCGUAAUAAAUCCAACAGUAUUGAAUCUGUGACAAGUAUGACUUUCAAUGCUGAUAGAACGACAGGAACAAUCUUUUCGACGGUAAAAAUGCAGUGUUUUCAAAUAUCGGAACAGUUCCUUAUCAUCAGGAAUACAAGGAGCACUGAUGUAAGCAACGACGUAUUUUGGUUUUUCUGUAUUCCAGUCUUCUACACUUCUGGACAAUCAAAUUUUACCAUGCAUUUCAAAGAUAGUGAAAGGCCUGUUUUCAAUCAAACAGUAGCCUUAACUGAAACUCAGUUAUGUGAGAUCUGUGGAACAGGGACUUUUACGGGUUUUGAAACAGUCUU